rnacentral:rRNA from 1 species
ACGGAGGAUCCAAGCGUUAUCCGGAAUCAUUGGGUUUAAAGGGUCCGCAGGCGGUUGUUUAAGUCAGAGGUGAAAGUUUGCAGCUCAACUGUAAAAUUGCCUUUGAUACUGAGCAACUUGAGUUAUAAUGAAGUGGUUAGAAUAUGUAGUGUAGCGGUGAAAUGCAUAGAUAUUACAUAGAAUACCGAUUGCGAAGGCAGAUCACUAAUUAUAUACUGACGCUGAGGGACGAAAGCGUGGGGAGCGAACAGG